GACGAACGCUGGCGGCGUGCUUAACACAUGCAAGUCGAGCGGUAAGGCCCCUUCGGGGGUACACGAGCGGCGAACGGGUGAGUAACACGUGAGCAACCUACCCUCAACUUCGGGAUAAGCCUCGGAAACGGGGUCUAAUACCGGAUAUCACUUCCUGCCUCAUGGUGGGGGUUGAAAGUUCUGGCGGUUGGGGAGUGGGCUCGCGGCCUAUCAGCUUGUUGGUGGGGUAAUGGCCUACCAAGGCGACGACGGGAGCUGGUCUGAGAGGAUGAUCAGCCACACUGGGACUGAGACACGGCCCAGACUCCUACGGGAGGCAGCAGUGGGGAAUAUUGGACAAUGGGCGAAAGCCUGAUCCAGCAAUGCCGCGUGUGUGAAGAAGGCCUGCGGGUUGUAAAGCACUUUCA
rnacentral:rRNA from 1 species